UGGCAAACCAGGUGUCGUUGCUCCUUAGGU
rnacentral:piRNA from 1 species